rnacentral:tRNA from 1 species
GGGCCCAUAGCUCAGCUGGUAGAGCGCUUGGCUGGCAGCCAAGAGGUCAGGGGUUCGACUCCCCUUGGGUCCA